rnacentral:tRNA from 1 species
AAUUUAAUUAGUUUAUGAAAAAUAUUGGAUUGUGGAUUCAGUGAAAUAAAGUUUUAUAUUAAAU